UGGGGAAUUUUGCACAAUGGAGGAAACUCUGAUGCAGCGACGCCGCGUGAGUGAUGAAGAUCUUCGGAUUGUAAAACUCUGUCCUUAGUGAAGAUAAUGACAGUAACUAAGAAGCAAGCCCUGGCUAAAUACGUGCCAGCAGCCGCGGUAAUACGUAUGGGGCAAGCGUUGUCCGGAAUUAUUGGGCGUAAAGGGUACGUAGGCGGUUUAAUAAGUCCUAAUUAAAAGGCUAUGGCUCAACCAUAGUAUGGUUAGGAAACUGUUGAACUUGAGUAGAUGAGGGGAAAGUGGAAUUCCAUGUGUAGCGGUGCAAUGCGUAGAUCUAUGGAGGAACACCAAUGCCGAAGGCAACUUUCUGGAAUCAAACUGACGCUGAGGUACGAAGGCGUGGGGAGCAAACAGG
rnacentral:rRNA from 1 species